ensembl:lncRNA
CAGCUCUGUCCGGUGGUCCAUUAGCUGUGCCCAAACGCAAAGAAGCUACUUUACCACCUACAGGAAAAAGACAGUAUGUGUAUCUGAUGGUCACUGGGGGGAUUUUACUAACAGUGGCUAUAGUGGUCACUGUGAUCUGGAGGAGACAGACACAGAGGCGUGUGAAUCACAUUAUGUUGGAGGGGAUGGAGCCAGAGGAGCUCACGGUGAAGGAUGAUGUUGAUCUGCUGGACCAUGAAUGGACAAACAGGACUGUUCUGAAACUGGAGGAGGAGAAGGACACUGUAGCAGAGCUUUAACGGCACAGACUCUCAGAAAUACUGCAGUUUAACAAACACAGUUCUCAACGUUUUCAUAUUUAUAAUGUCGUAUUUCAGCUGAUGAAUUAUGAUCUACUGGAUGUGAAACAGACUGUAAUCCAGUGCAGGUCACAUGGAAUAACGAACCCUCUGAUGGUGACCUGCAGUGGGUUCUGGGUAAUUUUAUAACUUGUUAUUUUCAGAAGCUCCGGCAUGUUUUACUGAACCCAUGUCAGCACUCGUGAUGGAGUGUAAGUGAUCGCUGGAGUGCGAGUGUAUGUGUGUGUGUGUGUGUAUGAGUGAGCAUGAGUGUGUUUGUAUGUGUGUGUGUGUGUGUGUGUGUGUGUGUGUGUGUGUGUAAUGGUGUCAGGUGGUCUGAAUGAAGCCUGAACCAGUUCCAGAUUCCAGAUCACUUCAGGAAUGCGGGGCAGUAAUGGUGGCCUUUGGCCCACCUGGCUAACAGCCUUUCCCCCCUGGCUAACAACCCUUAGCUCAGCUGGCCAACAGGCUUCAAUGCUUAAACGCACAGAUUAACGCAGCCUAAAAUAUCAUAUAAUCAUAGUCAGAGUACUGGUCUGAUGUCAGACCCGUCACUGCUGUCAUAUUGCCGCCGGUCGGCAGUCAGAUGAAGUGACAGCUAACAGUAGCUCAGUGACCGCAGCUCUCACAGAGACACUGUUCGUUUACUGUCACAUUAGUCAACAAAGUAUUCAGAUCUCAUCCAAAUCAAGCCUUCCAACUCCACAAUAUAAACUUCUCAGGAAAAGGAAAAAUAUUCUUCAUAUGUAAUUUUGUAUUAACUAAUAAAUACUAACAAUGAACCAUGUAUUUCAUGUGUGUCAAGCUUAUUGACCUCAAAUGUAUGAAUCUGGUACAACGCUGUCAUAUAAAGUAGGCCAAUUUUAUUUAUGAAAUAAUAUUUCAUAAACAAACAUCACAAGACACAGCACUUAAUCAGUUCUUAAGGAACCAUGACUCUAAUUAACACUAAUUAGUGAUCAGUUUCUAUUCUCCAUUUUCUGUUCAGGAGAGAAUGGUUGCUCCUAAAUUAUGCUAGCACAGCAUAAAUAACCAUUUUGAGCGUUUUCAAUCAGGUUUCUGUCCACAGAGAUCAACAGAAGAAACAGUGGAGAGAAAAACGUCAUGGCUAACCGAACUGAAAACUGCACUGAGAUCACUAAGCAGGUCACCAUUCCUCACCAUUCUUAUCAUAUCUCAGUGCAGCUUUCAACACUGCUACUCAUGAUAUUCCUGUGGCAUGUUGGGCUUCCAUCAUAUUUAAUUCAAUAUCGAUGAGUGAAAAUCUGUCUCUUUAACAUCCCUGUUAAACAUGGUGUUCCGCAAGAAUCCAUCCUCAGCCCCAUUCUUUUCACCACGUUUAUGCUUUCGCUCAGCCAGGUCUUGUUGGUUAUGCUAACUUCAAAAUUUUUACCUGUACAAACAGAAACUUUGCUGUCAGUGUAAACUUCACAUCUGGCAUUCAGCACAGGAAAUACUGUAAUUUUCCAGUUUGUAUUCAAAUACAGAAAAACCUUCAUUUCUGAUGACAUGGAAGAACUUAGAAACUUUGUGCAGUUCAGAUGAACAUUGUUCACACAGG